rnacentral:rRNA from 1 species
GUCUUUUUGGUUAUAAUUUAAAGUCGAGCCUGCUCAAUGAUUUUUAAAUAGCUGCAGUAUACUGACUGUGCAAAGGUAGCAUAAUCAUUAGUUUUUUAAUUGAAAGCUUGUAUGAACGGUUUGACGAAAAAAUGACUGUCUCUGUUUAAAUUUUUUAGAAAUUUAUUUUUAAGUGAAAAAGCUUAAAUGUUGAUUGGGGACGAGAAGACCCUAUAGAGUUUUAUAUUUUAUUUACAUUAAAGGUUAUAGAAUUGUUUAAUUUAAUUAAAUCAAGUAUUUAGUUGGGGUGAUUGGAAAAUUUAUUAAACUUUUUCUUUAUUUAAACAGUGAUUUCUGAAUAUAUGAUCUUUAAUUUAAGAUUAGAAGAUUAAAUUACCUUAGGGAUAACAGCGUAAUAUUCCCUAGAGUUCUUAUUGAAAGGGGUGUUUGCGACCUCGAUGUUGGAUUAAAAUAUGUAGGUGGUGGAGAGGCUAUUUUACUAAGUCUGUUCGACUUUUAAAAUUUUACAUGAUCUGAGUUUAGACCGGCGUGA